UACGGGGGGGGGCAAGCGUUGUUCGGAAUUACUGGGCGUAAAGGGCUCGUAGGCGGCCAACUAAGUCAGACGUGAAAUCCCUCGGCUUAACCGGGGAACUGCGUCUGAUACUGGAUGGCUUGAAUCCGGGAGAGGGAUGCGGAAUUCCAGGUGUAGCGGUGAAAUGCGUAGAUAUCUGGAGGAACACCGGUGGCGAAGGCGGCAUCCUGGACCGGCAUUGACGCUGAUGAGCGAAAGCCAGGGGAGCAAAACGGGGAUUAGAACCGUACCGUACGUCAGA
rnacentral:rRNA from 1 species